GACAGAGGGGCAAGCGUUGCUCGGAAUCACUGGGCGUAAAAGGGUGCGUAGGCGGGUCUUUAAGUCAGGGGUGAAAUCCUGGAGCUCAACUCCAGAACUGCCUUUGAUACUGAAGAUCUUGAGUUCGGGAGAGGUGAGUGGAACUGCGAGUGUAGAGGUGAAAUUCGUAGAUAUUCGCAAGAACACCAGUGGCGAAGGCGGCUCACUGGCCCGAUACUGACGCUGAGGCACGAAAGCGUGGGGAGCAAAC
rnacentral:rRNA from 1 species